ACCUGUGGUCGCACCUGUGUUCAGAGCAGGUGGUGCGAGGCCCACGCUGAGAUGCUGUUGCUCCUGCUGCUUCUGCAGCCGGGCCCUGGGCUCGGCGCCCUCGUCUCUCAGCGCCCAAGCAGGGCCAUCUGCAAGAGUGGCGCCUCCGUGAAGAUCGAGUGCCACGCCGUGGACUUUCAGGCCCCAACUGUGUUUUGGUAUCGUCAGUUCCCGAAACAGAGCUUCAUGCUGAUGGCAACUUCUAAUGAAGGCUCCAACGCCACAUACGAACAAGGUGUUCCCGGGGACAAGUUUCCCAUCAGCCACCCAAGCCUAACAUUGUCAACUUUGACGGUGGCGAGUGCGCGUCCUGAAGACAGCGGCUUCUACCUCUGCAGUGGUAGUGACACAGUGUCAUAUUUUCCUCCAGGAAGCUAG